UUCAGCGGUUAUUGAGCAGGGGUCACACCCGUUCCCAUUCCGAACACGGCAGUUAAGCCCUGCAUCGCCGAUGGUACCUGGCCUACGGGUCCGGGAGAGUAGGUCGCCGCUGGAU
rnacentral:rRNA from 1 species